rnacentral:tRNA from 1 species
GGGCCCGUAGCUCAGUCCGGUCAGAGCGACAGGCUCAUAACCUGUUGGUCAUGGGUUCAAAUCCCACCGGGCCCACCA